rnacentral:rRNA from 1 species
GACGAACGCUGGCGGCGUGCUUAACACAUGCAAGUCGAACGGAAAAGCCCUGCUUUUGUGGGGUGCUCGAGUGGCGAACGGGUGAGUAACACGUGAGUAACCUGCCCUUGACUUUGGGAUAACUUCAGGAAACUGGGGCUAAUACCGGAUAGGAGCUCCUGCUGCAUGGUGGGGGUUGGAAAGUUUCGGCGGUUGGGGAUGGACUCGCGGCUUAUCAGCUUGUUGGUGGGGUAGUGGCUUACCAAGGCUUUGACGGGUAGCCGGCCUGAGAGGGUGACCGGCCACAUUGGGACUGAGAUACGGCCCAGAGUCCUACGGGAGGCAGCAGUGGGGAAUAUUGCACAAUGGGCGGAAGCCUGAUGCAGCAACGCCGCGUGCGGGAUGACGGCCUUCGGGUUGUAAACCGCUUUCGCCUGUGACGAAGCGUGAGUGACGGUAAUGGGUAAAGAAGCACCGGCUAACUACGCG